rnacentral:lncRNA from 1 species
AUGUGGUAUAUUAACAGCCCUAUCAUGAGUGGAAAUAUUACACCCCAAAUCCUCAUGAGGAGCUCUAGUGAGCCAAGAUUUGAUUUCUGUGGAUGUGGUUUUCCAGCGGAGCUGCCUCAGAACCACAGAAAAUGUUCUGUCAGAAAUUCAGGGGGACAUGCUAUCCUGCACAGUAAGAAACAGGGCCAGGCUUUGCAGGAUAAUCUUCUGGAAGAUGAAAGAAAUGGAAAUGCCCCGUUUCUUUUACUUGCAUUGCAUUUGGGGAUUAAUUUCCCAAUAAAAUGCCACCAUCUUCUUAGAUGUGCAGGAUCUAGGCACUCGAUUUCCACUGGCUUUCCUGAGUUUUAUGACUUCUUCAAGAAAAUUGUCACUAUACUCAUCACCCCUGCAGGCCUCCAAGGCCUCGGGUCCUCUGGGAGGAAUGUGACCCAAGAAGGCCCAAGCUGUCCGUGGUGGUGUGAGAAGUGAGCAACCAGGUGCAGAGCAGUUAAACAUCCCUUAUGGCAUCACAGGAGCAGGAAUGUGGCCUUGUUUCAGGAUUGGCUCUGCAAUGUAACGGGAUGGAGAACCAAAGACCAGAAAGAGCUGCAGCAUGGAGGAUUAGGAUGCUCCCCAAGGCUUCCACGCAGAAGAGAGCCAAGAGCCUUCUGUACUUAACAGUAAUAACUUACUUAUACUUACAUCCCCAGAGUGUUGUGAGGCUUAAUUAGGUAAUGUUUGCAAAGUGCUAUGCAGAUGCAAAGAGCAAUAUAAGCACUAAGUAUUAUUAACUGGUAGAAGAUUUCCAUGCGAGAGGUCUCUACAGUCUGUUGGAGCUAAAUGAUUCAGCAGGUUCCCCAAAAUUACAGGGCAGAGCAGAGAACUCUCCCUCAGAAACACGAGUCCACUUUCACAGCCUGCCUUUCGCACCCCAGGGCCCGGGAUCCCAAAUUGCCUCUGUUACCCUGGCCUUCUCAGCACCACAUCCUGAGGGAAGGCAGGAGGAGGAGUUCACUGAGACCCUCAGCAAGACAAGGACAAGGCCAAAGCGGCCUGAACUGAGCACUGUUGGCUCUCUGCCAGGAUAAGGACAGGUUUCUGUUCUGUGACAUGGUCGCAGAUUGAAUUAUACCCCAGUACCUCUCCCAGGUUUCUUUUUCCCAGUCAGAUAAAUGGGAGACCUGCCUCCAAGCGGGCAUGUAGCCCAGUUUCCCUGGGCCCCCAGUGCUGUCCUCCCGGGUACUGUGCGGGUGAAUGUUUGUGCUAUUGCAAAAAACAGAGGCUAUGUGAAGGGAGGGAUCCUGCACAGCUGUGUGACUGUAGCACGAUCACAGCCCCCAGAGGGGGUGUCCAAGGGGAAGCUUUAAGAAAGGAUAAUUUUUUUAAAUUCUGGUAGUUGAAGUGAAGGUUGAAUGAGAGUCAAAAAUAAAUAUCAGACUCUUCUGAAAUUCA